UUAAAUUGAAACAUGUGUUUGAGGUUGCA
rnacentral:piRNA from 1 species